rnacentral:lncRNA from 1 species
UUCAUCCUCCUCUUCCUCACUCUCAAAUUUCGAUUUUUUGGUGAAUUUUUGGGUCAUUUUUUGCCUUUUUUCCUCCAUUUUUACUGUUUUUUUCCCAGUUUUUUUGCGUGGAUCUUCCUCAUCUUCCUCCUCUUCUUCAUCCUCCUCUUCCUCACUCUCAAAUUUCGAUUUUUUGCCCAAUUUUUGGGUCAUUUUUUGCCUUUUUUCCUCAUUUUUCCCCGUUUUUUUCCGGUUUUUUCGGUCUGGCUCUUCCUCCUCCUCUUCCUCCUCCUCACUCUCAAUUUUCCUCCUUUUCCCCCCCAAUUUUUCCCAUUUUCCCCCUUUUUCCUCCUCAGUUUUCCCAAAUUUCCCAGAUUUUUCCCCAAUUUUCCCUUUACUCACCCCAAUUUUCCCCCUCUCCCCUUCCUCUUCCUCCUCAUCUUCCUCACUCUCAAUUUUCCCCCUUUUUUCCCCAUUUUUCCCCAUUUUUUCCUCAUUUUUCCCCCCGAAUU